ACAAAUAUUGUUUACUUAUUAAUUAUAUAGAGGUACUUUUGGAGAGCCUAAACUGUUCCUGAUAUUUUUCAUGAGUCACCUUAUUUGAUUAUACCAAAAAGCCCUUACAAAAUGGGAACGAUCAUACUCAUUUUACAGCCAACCUCCUCCUCCGCCAACCUAACCUGUGCUGGGUCACCCGAUCUCCUCUCUUCUCUCCGGGCCCUCGUUUGCCUGCAGAACUCCUUCAGUCUAAUGGCUUCAGAUACCAUCUGUAGGUGCUGAAGACUUCCUAACCGUGGCCUGGAACCAACCCUGCAACAUCUCUGAGGGACAGAUUCUGAAUGCACGUAGGGCAGGGCGAAAAAGAGGGAGCCCCUUACUCAUCCAGGAGAUGUGAAUCAACUGUCCAACAUGCCUAAGACACUAGUUCCUGUCCUGGAAGGUACUCAAUCUGCCUGGAAGAAUGGGUCUACAUUUUGGCACAGUUUGGUUUGUUUACGGAAUGAUGUCAUCUGGGGAAGGAGCUCUUUUUCCUGAGGCAAGGAAAGUUUGAGAAGUACAGCCAGAGGGGAGGGGAGCCUGGAACGUUCUCCAAGAUGGAGGUGACUUGGCUGUCAUGGAGAAGGACCAUCUGGGGGUGAGGCUGCAGGUUGGCAGGUGUCACGGAGACCACCUGGCCCCGCCCCACCCGGCCUGGUACUCACGGGCAUCCUGGUGCCCA